AUUGAACGCUGGCGGCAUGCCUUACACAUGCAAGUCGAACGGUAACGGGCCUUCGGGUGCCGACGAGUGGCGCACGGGUGAGUAAUACAUCGGAACGUGCCCGAUCGUGGGGGAUAACGUGGCGAAAGCUUUGCUAAUACCGCAUACGAUCUACGGAUGAAAGCAGGGGACCGCAAGGCCUUGCGCGGACGGAGCGGCCGAUGGCAGAUUGGGUAGUUGGUGGGAUAAGAGCUUACCAAGCCGACGAUCUGUAGCUGGUCUGAGAGGAUGAUCAGCCACACUGGGACUGAGACACGGCCCAGACUCCUACGGGAGGCAGCAGUGGGGAAUUUUGGACAAUGGGCGCAAGCCUGAUCCAGCCAUGCCGCGUGCAGGAUGAAGGCCUUCGGGUUGUAAACUGCUUUUGUACGGAACGAAAAGCCUCUUUUAAUACAGGAGGGUCAUGACGGUACCGUAAGAAUAAGCACCGGCUAACUACGUG
rnacentral:rRNA from 1 species